GAACCGUCCAAACGUUAUUCGGAAUCAUUGGGCUUAAAGGGUGCGUAGGCGGUGUGGUCAGUUGGGUGUGAAAUCCCUCGGCUCAACCGAGGAACUGCGCCCAAUACUGCCACACUCGAGGGAGACAGAGGUAAGCGGAACUGAUGGUGGAGCGGUGAAAUGCGUUGAUAUCAUCAGGAACACCAGUGGCGAAGGCGGCUUACUGGGUCUCUUCUGACGCUGAGGCACGAAAGCUAGGGGGAGCGAACGGGAUUAGAUACCCCGGUAGUCCUAGCUGUAAACGAUGAGCACUUGAUCGGAGCUCCUCCCAUAGGUUUCCGGUCGUAGCGAAAGUGUUAAGUGCUCCGCCUGGGAGUAUGGUCGCAAGGCUG
rnacentral:rRNA from 1 species